UAGUUUUCCAAAUUCUGCAUAAU
rnacentral:piRNA from 1 species